ACAGCAGCAGCCGCGGGAAUACAGAGGUCCCGAGCGUUGUUCGGAUUCACUGGGCGUAAAGGGUGUGUAGGAGGUUGGAUAAGUCAGGUGUGAAAUCCCGCAGCUCAACUGCGGAACUGCAUUCGAUACUGUUCAACUAGAGGAUCGGAGGGGGAAGCGGAAUUCUUGGUGUAGCGGUGAAAUGCGUAGAUAUCAAGAGGAACACCGGUGGCGAAGGCGGCUUCCUGGAAGAUACCUGACUCUGAAACACGAAAGCCAGGGGAGCGAAUGGGAUUAGAUACCCCCGUAGUCCCUGUCUCUUAUAC
rnacentral:rRNA from 1 species